GUCCACGCCCUAAACGAUGUCGACUGGUUGUUGGGGGUUUGACACUCUCAGUAACGAAGCUAACGCGUGAAGUCGACCGCCUGGGGAGUACGGCCGCAAGGUUAAAACUCAAAGGAAUUGACGGGGACCCGCACAAGCGGUGGAUUAUGUGGAUUAAUUCGAUGCAACGCGAAAAAACCUUACCUACCCUUGACAUGUCCUGGAGGCGGAAGAGAUUCCGCUGUGCCCGAAAGGUAACGGGAACACAGGUGCUGCAUGGCUGUCGU
rnacentral:rRNA from 1 species